AAUGCACCAAUUUGUAAGUCGCUCUGGAUAAGAGCUUCUGCUAAAUUACGUAAA
rfam:Salmo salar isolate Sally breed double haploid chromosome ssa15, whole genome shotgun sequence.